UGCUGCAAGAGUGUGAGCUCAUUAAAACAUUCAGCUUUCAUUAUAUAGUUUUUAAUUAUAAGAGUUAAAACGCUACAAAAUGUUUCAUUUAAACCUGUAAAGAGAUGUUUGUAUCGUUGUAAUAUAAUCUGAGUUGCAGGAUUAUUUCAAAUUCUCACUUUAAUCUUAAAUUAUUCAAUCUUCAUACCGUUUGCAACAGCAGAAUUCAACGGCGACUUGAAGUGAAUAAAACACAUCUGGAACAUCACAAACGAGAGAAACAUGGAGAACAAACCAGACGAGUUACAAUCAAAUGGACCAAAAGAGAAAAACACUGUGAGACUUGUGAGACAAAACAGCAUUCAUAGUGGAAAACCCAACUUCUCUCGUGAAGUCGCACCUGUAGAGUUUAAUUCUGAUGAAUCAGGAAUGGAAGAAUAUUUUUAAUCACUUAAUUAUAGUCACUGAUUCAACCGCUGCUGAUGUCAUAACCCCCCACCACACACACUCUCUCACACACACACACACACACACACUCUCCCACACACACACACACUCUCCCACACACACACACACACACACACACACACACACACACACUCUCCCACACACACACACACACACACACUCUCCCACACACACACACACACACACUCUCUCUCACACACACACACACACACACACACUCUCUCUCUCACACACACACAC